GAUGAACGCUAGCGACAGGCUUAACACAUGCAAGUCGAGGGGCAGCAUAAAAGUAGCAAUACUUUGGUGGCGACCGGCGCACGGGUGAGUAACGCGUAUGCAACCUACCUAUCAGAGGGGAAUAACCCGGCGAAAGUCGGACUAAUACCGCAUAAAACAGGGGCACCGCAUGGUGAUAUUUGUUAAAGAAAUUCGCUGAUAGAUGGGCAUGCGUUCCAUUAGGUAGUUGGUGAGGUAACGGCUCACCAAGCCGACGAUGGAUAGGGGAACUGAGAGGUUGGUCCCCCACACUGGUACUGAGACACGGACCAGACUCCUACGGGAGGCAGCAGGUGAGGAAUAUUGGUCAAUGGGCGGGAGCCUGAACCAGCCAAGUCGCGUGAAGGAAGAAGGAUCUAUGGUUCGUAAACUUCUUUGCAGGGGAAUAAAGUGCAGGACGUGUCCUUGUUUUGUAUGUACCCUGAGAAUAAGGAUCGGCUAACUCCGUGCCAGCAGCCGCGGUAAACAUAC
rnacentral:rRNA from 1 species